rnacentral:lncRNA from 1 species
AGGAAAGCCCUGGAUCAAGAGGCCAGCUAAGCUCCACCCUGGGUUGGGGACAGGUCUUUACCAAGAUAAGAGAACAUCUACUGGCUAUGAAUUCCCUCAAUCUGAAGGAUAAUUUCGUUUGGGCAGAGAGCUUGCUCUGUGGGCAUGAGGGCCUGAGUUUGAAUUCCCAGUGCUUUCAUAUUGCAAGUGACAGUCUCAUGUGUAGCUCACUUUGUAGCUGAAGAUGACGUUGAACCCUUAUCAUCUUUCCUCUACCUCCCUAGACCCGGAAUUAUAAAUAUGUGCUAAUAGGCUUAUACAUGCUGCUGGAGACUGAACCCAGAGAUGUGUGCAUACAAGGCAAGCAUUCUACCAUCUGAGCUACAUCCAGUGGCUGACUAAACUGGCUUUAAUCCCUUCCAUUAUUAACAGUCUGC